GUAGGGUGCGAGCGUUAAUCGGAAUUACUGGGCGUAAAGCGUGCGCAGGCGGUGAGUCAAGUCUGAUGUGAAAGCCCCGGGCUCAACCUGGGAACGGCAUUGGAAACUGGCUCGCUGGAGUGUGGCAGAGGGGGGUGGAAUUCCGCGUGUAGCAGUGAAAUGCGUAGAGAUGCGGAGGAACACCGAUGGCGAAGGCAGCCCCCUGGGCCAACACUGACGCUCAGGCACGAAAGCGUGGGGAGCAAACAGGAUUAGAUACCCUGGUAGUCCACGCCCUAAACGAUGGCCACUGGGUGUUGGGGAAGCGAUUCCUUGGUACCGCAGCUAACGCGUGAAGUGGCCCGCCUGGGGAGUACGGCCGCAAGGUUA
rnacentral:rRNA from 1 species